UACGAAGGGGGCUAGCGUUGUUCGGAAUUACUGGGCGUAAAGGGCGCGUAGGCGGUUGCUCAAGUCAGGCGUGAAAGCCCCGGGCUCAACCUGGGAACAGCGCUUGAGACUGGGCGGCUUGAGUUCGGGAGAGGUGAGUGGAAUUCCCAGUGUAGAGGUGAAAUUCGUAGAUAUUGGGAAGAACACCGGUGGCGAAGGCGGCUCACUGGACCGACACUGACGCUGAGGCGCGAAAGCGUGGGGAG
rnacentral:rRNA from 1 species